CUGAGAGCCACUAGGUGGCAGCAGAUUAACUCUUCAAAUGCCAGAACGGGUGCUUAGCAGUCAGGAAUUGGGUCUGAAAACUUGGCAUCUGGUCACUUCCCUCAAAGGAAAGGAAAAACAAAUGGCUUUUUCUGUACUUUCGGAUCCUUGGCUUGUUGCAUCGAUAUUGGAGGAAAUGCUAUGAAAGGAAGAUUGCUUCCUGGUCACCCAUUCAUAGGGUGGCUUGGGGCUGGGUGAAAUGCAAUUGUGUAUGCACCGGGUUUCAUGACUUGAAGGACACUUGGUUCACAACUGUUUCAAGAGACUAAAAGAUCCUUUGAGAAAUUCAUGUUCACAUUCAAUUCACUUCAACGAAUACUAAAUACAAUGAGAAAUGAGUGCAUUCCAUUUUCUAGGGUUAUUUCCCCAGCUGAUGGCCAGGGCCCCCACCCUUGAGGAUCGUGGGGGGAAGACAGGAUCUAAAUGAAGAGUGUUCUUCUUGGUCAUCCACCUUGGUUGGCAGUCUCAGAACAAAGCUCAUUCAAAUACACGGAAAGUGGAGGAAAGCAUCUUACCAACGUGACUUGCGGUCAUCAGAGCUGUAGGAACGUGGUUCUCAAAGCUGGUUCAAAGAAAGACUGAAACAAUGAUAGUUCAAAAGGAAGACAGAAAAGUGAUCAUAAGGGACCUCAUGGCCUAAGCAAAAUAGCUGCCAUGGGUGAAGGUAAGAGAAUGGCUCUCAUAAAAUUGUUGCUAAGAGCAAAACAGUUCUUGUAGUGUUC
rnacentral:lncRNA from 12 species